rnacentral:snRNA from 1 species
AUUGCUUCUCAGCCUCUUGGCUAAGAUCAAGUAUACAUCUGUUCUUAUCAGUUCAAUAUCUGAUAUGUCCUCUAUCCGAGGACAGUAUGUUAAAUGGAUUUUGGGAAUUAGGAGAUGGAUAGGAGCUUGCCCCAUCCACUGCACUCAUCGGCAGUACUUCCAGGAACCAUGCAACCCUU